UCUACGGAGAGUUUGAUCCUGGCUCAGAACUAACGCUGGUGGCGUGUCUUAGUCAUGCAAGUCGAACGAGAAAGUACCCUUCGGGGUGCGAGUACAGUGGCGGACGGGUGAGUAACACGUGGGCAACCUGCCUUUGAGUGGGGGACAACCCCUCUAACGAGGGGCUAAUACCGCAUAAUGCAGCAAUUUCGCAUGGAAAUGCUGUUAAAGGGGCUGCUUGCAGUCUCGCUUGAAGAUGGGCCCGCGGUCCAUUAGCUAGUUGGUGAGGUAACGGCUCACCAAGGCAACGAUGGAUAGCCGGCCUGAGAGGGUGAACGGUCACACUGGAACUGAGAUAAGGUCCAGUCCCCUACGGGGGCCAGCAGUCUAGAAAUUUGCGCAAUGGACGAAAGUCUGACGCAGCGACGCCACGUGGAGGAUGAAGCCUUUAGGGGUGUAAACUCCUGUCAGGAGGGAAGAAAGCGCACAAUAACUUUGUGCGUCUGACGGUACCUCCAGAGGAAGCCCCGGCUAACUUCGUGCCAGCAGCCGCGGUAAUACGAAGGGGGCAAGCGUUGUUCGGAUUUACUGGGCGUAAAGGGCGCGCAGGCGGACCAACAAGUC
rnacentral:rRNA from 1 species